rnacentral:rRNA from 1 species
GACGAACGCUGGCGGCGUGCUUAACACAUGCAAGUCGAACGAAGAGCGACGGAAGCUUGCUUCUAUCAAUCUUAGUGGCGAACGGGUGAGUAACGCGUAAUCAACCUGCCCUUCAGGGGGGGACAACAGUUGGAAACGACUGCUAAUACCGCAUACGAUCUAAUCUCGGCAUCGAGGAUGGAUGAAAGGUGGCCUCUACAUGUAAGCUAUCACUGAAGGAGGGGAUUGCGUCUGAUUAGCUAGUUGGAGGGGUAACGGCCCACCAAGGCGAUGAUCAGUAGCCGGUCUGAGAGGAUGAACGGCCACAUUGGGACUGAGACACGGCCCAGACUCCUACGGGAGGCAGCAGUGGGGAAUCUUCCGCAAUGGACGAAAGUCUGACGGAGCAACGCCGCGUGAGUGAUGACGGCCUUCGGGUUGUAAAGCUCUGUUAAUCGGGACGAAAGGCCUUCUUGCGAAUAGUGAGAAGGAUUGACGGUACCGGAAUAGAAAGCCACGGCUAACUACGUG